rnacentral:rRNA from 1 species
AUUGAACGCUGGCGGCAGGCCUAACACAUGCAAGUCGAGCGGAUGAAGGGAGCUUGCUCCUGGAUUCAGCGGCGGACGGGUGAGUAAUGCCUAGGAAUCUGCCUGGUCGUGGGGGAUAACGUCCGGAAACGGGCGCUAAUACCGCAUACGUCCUGAGGGUGAAAGUGGGGGAUCUUCGGACCUCACGCUAUCAGAUGUGCCUAGGUCGGAUUAGCUAGUUGGUGGGGUAAAGGCCUACCAAGGCGACGAUCCGUAGCUGGUCUGAGAGGAUGAUCAGUCACACUGGAACUGAGACACGGUCCAGACUCCUACGGGAGGCAGCAGUGGGGAAUAUUGGACAAUGGGCGAAAGCCUGAUCCAGCCAUGCCGCGUGUGUGAAGAAGGUCUUCGGAUUGUAAAGCACUUUAAGUUGGGAGGAAGGGCAGUAAGUUAAUACCUUGCUGUGUUGACGUUACCAAAAGAAUAAGCACCGGCUAACUACGUG